rnacentral:rRNA from 1 species
AGUGAACGCUGGCGGUAGGCCUAACACAUGCAAGUCGAACGGCAGCACAGUAAGAGCUUGCUCUUACGGGUGGCGAGUGGCGGACGGGUGAGGAAUACAUCGGAAUCUACUUUUUCGUGGGGGAUAACGUAGGGAAGCUUACGCUAAUACCGCAUACGACCUACGGGUGAAAGCAGGGGAUCUUCGGACCUUGCGCGAUUGAAUGAGCCGAUGUCGGAUUAGCUAGUUGGCGGGGUAAAGGCCCACCAAGGCGACGAUCCGUAGCUGGUCUGAGAGGAUGAUCAGCCACACUGGAACUGAGACACGGUCCAGACUCCUACGGGAGGCAGCAGUGGGGAAUAUUGGACAAUGGGCGCAAGCCUGAUCCAGCCAUACCGCGUGGGUGAAGAAGGCCUUCGGGUUGUAAAGCCCUUUUGUUGGGAAAGAAAAGCAGCAGGUUAAUACCCCGCUGUUCUGACGGUACCCAAAGAAUAAGCACCGGCUAACUUCGU